rnacentral:rRNA from 1 species
UACAGAGGGUGCGAGCGUUAAUCGGAAUUACUGGGCGUAAAGCGCACGUAGGCGGCUUGGUAUGUCGGGUGUGAAAUCCCCGGGCUCAACCUGGGAACUGCGUCCGAUACUGGUAGGCUUGAAUUCGGGAGAGGGAUGCGGAAUUCCAGGUGUAGCGGUGAAAUGCGUAGAUAUCUGGAGGAACACCGGUGGCGAAGGCGGCAUCCUGGACCGACAUUGACGCUGAGGCGCGAAAGCCAGGGGAGCAAACGGG